AUAUCAUCUCAAGUCUCAAAAAUUGUCUCUAACUCAAAAUCUCAAAUUUAGAGACUUGAGACUGUCUCAAGUUACAGAAUCGCACGGUAAGUUCAGUCGAAGUAUGAUAGGCGUUGCCAACCUAAGAAAGGGAAAUUUCACAAAAAGUGAAACAGCUAAAAUUUUGUAAACGACAUAUUUAGACAAUUGAAUUCAGUUGCCGCUCGCGAAAAAGUGAAUAAACAUAAGUAUAUAAUAAACAAUAAAUAAAAAAUGGAUAUAAGUUUUGAUUUAUAUUACAAUGACGAAAAUACUGGAGAAAAAAUUGAUGUGCUACGUAUACGAAAAAGCCUUCGUGAUCACUCAAAUCCAUUGGAGCUUCCAAAUGCAAAGUAAGCCAUAGUUUUUUCACAAUUGAUUCAUAAGUUAUUUUCGAUUAAAUAAAGAAGCAUUUUGUUUUUUACUGAAUGAGAUGAAGGAACAUUUCCACAAACGUGUGCGAGGAACGGCCAUACAUCCUAUAUUAAAAUUAUGCGCAACUCUGCGUUUCCUUGCUGACGGUGGUUAUCAAAAAUGCAGUGGAAAUGAUUUUAACAUUGGGUUGGCGCAACCUACGAUAUCUUUAGUAAUUAAAGAGGUUCUAAAUAUAAUUGAACAACUUAUUUGUGCCCAAUGGAUUAAAAUUCAAAUGACUGAGGAGGAGGAGGUUAGUUGCAUCGGCGGGACUCAUGUUCGCAUAAUUUCGCCAAGAAAAGAAGUGCAACAUCUUUAUCUUAACAGAAAGGGAUACUACAGUUUAAACGUGAUGAUUCUUUGUGAUUAUAAAAUGUCUAUUCGGUAUGUGGAUGCUAGGCAUGGCAAAUUAUGACUCUUUUGUUUUUAAUGUUAGCGAUUUGAAAGUGCAUUUACAGAACAACAUACAGAAUAACACUUGGAUCUUGGGCGACGCUGGCUAUCCUCUGCACAAAUUUUUAAUGACGCCUUAUCGCUUGGCGGAAGCUUCUUCACCCCAAGCACGCUACAACUCAAAGGCCUGGAAUAUUGUAGAGCGGACAAUUGGUGUACUCAAGAGUAGAUUUCGAUGGCUUUUAUCUGUACGAGGUGUACAUUACACUCCCGAAAAGGCUACGCAAAUUGUGAAUGCUUGUUGCGUAUUGCACAAUAUUUGCCAACACUUUCAAGUGGAAUCUCCGGAAGAAAUAUCAUCUACUUCACAUACUACAAUGACCAAUGAUAUUUUGGACAUAGAAAGAGAAGAAGAGGAUAUGGCUCGAAUAAUUCGCAAUAAUAUUAUGACUUCCCUCUAAAUAAUUAAAAUAUUAAAUUUCAUUUAUUCUUUCUAAUGUGCUAUUUAUUCAGGCAUAUAUUUAAAUUUUAUUUAAAUAAAUUCAUUAAAUAACAA